CACUCACGACACGUUCGGGCUGCUCCGAGCAGCUCACCGGAUGGGCUCACUGCACCGUCACAGCACCGCUGGGCGAGGGCCAUCGCCACCCGGCAGCGCAGAGGAGGGACCGAGAGCAGAGAGGCCAGCUCAGUCGUCGGAGGGGAGGGAGCCCGUGAGCGGCCCCCAGGCUGUGCAGCCCCGGAGCAGCCGCUCCUGACCCAACACAGCUCCCUGGGAGGCACCGGGGUGCUGGGGCCUGGGAGGCAGCGGCCCCAGUGUGGCCUCCGAGCACUUCGACUCUGCUCGACGCUCAGACAGGCGCCUGCCCUGCGGCCCGCCGGGUGGAGACGCCCUCCCGACCAAGCCCUCAGACUCCAAACCCUCAAAGGCAGCGUGUCUUCCAGGGACAGUGCGGCUGCUGCCAGGCCCCCAGGGGCGGGCCGCGGGCCAGGGACAUGGUUUGGCUCCAGAACGUCCCAGAGCAAUUUGCAACACCUUCAAACCUCCCGGAGCAGCCAAGAGAGGUGGGCCGUGCGCCGGCCGCAGGAAGGCGGCCAGGGGGCACGCUCCCCUGGGGCCGAGGACAGGCCCUCGCAGGACUCCCGCCGGCACCCUGCAUUCUGCCCGGGCGGCGCGCUGCCGGAGCCCCCAGGACCCCGGCCGCAGCGCCGCCCCUCCACCGCUCAGCCUCGGGAGCACCAUGCCGGAGGGAGGCGGCUGAGGCCUGGCUGCCGUGAUCGGCCGGGGGUUCCAGCGGGUUACCUGCUCCGAGCACACGCCAUGGGUCACGACCGCGAACAGCUGGAGGCCUCACAUAAGGCGACAGCUACCGCCCAGGGACCUGCCGCGUGCCAGGCUCAGUCUUCCGGUUCAUCCCGCUCGUGGCUUCCACAAACCUCUAAUGAACCCCUACUGUGUGCCACUUACCCUGCGCCCAGGGGAGGCAGACCCUACCUGCUCUCGGGCGCUCACUGGCACGCAAGGGCCCACCUUACAGAUGAGGAAGAAAUUCACCCAGAACGGUGGGGCCUUCCCCCCGAAGAGCCUUUGCAUGGCCACAAGGGACCGGGCCAGGCCUCAUGGGAGCCAGCUUCGUACAAAACACCUACCAUCUUAGUGAUCUCCCACCACAGCCAACAAGGUGUGGACUGCCAUCCCUGCUAUAGAGAAGUGUAA
rnacentral:lncRNA from 1 species